GACGAACGCUGGCGGCGUGCUUAACACAUGCAAGUCGAACGGAAAGGCCCUGCUUGCAGGGUACUCGAGUGGCGAACGGGUGAGUAACACGUGGGUGAUCUGCCCUGCACUUCGGGAUAAGCCUGGGAAACUGGGUCUAAUACCGGAUAGGAGCCAUUUUUAGUGUGAUGGUUGGAAAGUUUUUUCGGUGUGGGUGAGCUCGCGGCCUAUCAGCUUGGUGGUGGGGUAAUGGCCUACCAAGGCGGCGACGGGUAGCCGGCCUGAGAGGGUGGACGGCCACAUUGGGACUGAGAUACGGCCCAGACUCCUACGGGAGGCAGCAGUGGGGAAUAUUGCACAAUGGGCGCAAGCCUGAUGCAGCGACGCCGCGUGGGGGAUGACGGCCUUCGGGUUGUAAACUCCUUUCGCUAGGGACGAAGCUUUUUGUGACGGUACCUAGAUAAGAAGCACCGGCUAACUACGUG
rnacentral:rRNA from 1 species